UAAGGAAUAUUGGACAAUGGAGGCAACUCUGAUCCAGCCAUGCCGCGUGAAGGAAUAAGGCCCUAUGGGUUGUAAACUUCUUUUAGACGGGACAAAACCCCUUUACGUGUAAAGGGUUGAUGGUACUGUCAGAAUAAGCAUCGGCUAACUUCGUGCCAGCAGCCGCGGUAAUACGAAGGAUGCAAGCGUUAUCCGGAAUUAUUGGGUUUAAAGGGUGCGUAGGCGGACUAAUAAGUCAGUGGCGAAAGCCUGCAGCUUAACUGCAGAAUUGCCAUUGAUACUGUUAGUCUUGAGUACAGUUGAGGUAGGCGGAAUGUGUCAUGUAGCGGUGAAAUGCUUAGAUAUGACACAGAACACCGAUUGCGAAGGCAGCUUGCUAAGCUGUAACUGACGCUGAGGCACGAAAGCGUGGGGAGCAAACA
rnacentral:rRNA from 1 species